CAUUUCUGAGCUUAGGCCUUAAGAAGCGUCGUGCGUUUCCAUUUGCCUCCCUGUGCCUCUGUCAUCACAAUGAGAAGAAUAUGCCCUAACUGGCCCUGAGUCCCCGAAGAAGGAUUAGAGAAACGUGGAGCAGAGCCCCGAGUCUGAAGUGAGAGCUACCCCUAGCUGAUCCAUGAACUGAGCAAGGAAGUUGUUCACACAUGUAUGCCACUGAGACUUUGGCACUGUUCUUCUGUGGCACUAGUUGACCAAAACAGCUUUCUGCAAAUGGGAUGGGAGCAUCGCUAAUGCUCAGUGAUCUGGGAACAUGGCAUUAAUUGAUAAUGAUCAAGAAGACACUCUUUCACCACCAAUAUGAAACCCUGGGGAAGUCAAUUGAAGUGGAAAACUAUAUAUUUUGUGCAGAGGCUUCAAAGAAGGGGAAAUUAUGGUUUCAUUAGAUCAUCCCUCCAUUCUGCAAGCGUAGAGCAGGUCUGUGCAAUUGACUUUUUGAGGCCACUCUGUAAGCCUGCGCUGGGACGCAGUGAGCGCUUACCAUGAAACGGAUCAUUAAUUCUCCUCCUAUUUUGCUGCAUUGAAGCAGAAGAUGAUUAUUAACCUAGCAACAUGGGGAAACAGCUAAGGCUUUCUAAGCCCUUGGGAUGGAGAGACACUGCUAAUUAUGUGUGGCAAUCCGAUUUUUCUUCCUCUUUUAUAAAGGCAACGUUGUCCUCUUCGUCUUUCUAAGUCCUGUGCUGCGGCUAGCAGUGCAGUCUGAUGUAAGAAGGUUUGUGUCCCGCUCAAAGGUCCUUUUUCAUAAUAUUUGGACUAUAUGUAAGUGGGUGGGAUUUUUUCUGUCUUUUGAGGGCAGCCUGGGUUUGAAGAAGGGGCAAGUGAGGAGGGUGAGGGGGGUGCAUAUACGGAGAGUUGCACAGGAGUCGCUGACACAAAGUUGAACUGGGAAUGGAAAGCACUUCAGACACUGCCUCCUUGUUCCUCUGUACCAUCCUUGGGAGAAGCUUUAUGAAUGUGGGUCAACCCAACCAGCUGGGUUACUGGAGAGAGAGCUGAAGCUGGGCUGUAGGCGUGUGGCAUCCGGGGGCCAAGAGCUGCAGUUGUGAAGAACAAAGUCGGGGCAUGUCUGGCCUUCUAGGUAUUCCAGGCCAUGUCCAGUGGCAGGUGUGUCUGCGCUAGGGGACCAGACGUGGGAGAGGAGGCCUUACUUGAGUCUAUUGAGGUAUAAAUCUGGUUUAUUGCACACAUAUGGUAAGGAAUGAAGGAAAGGGGCUGGUGGCCAGUAAGCCAAGGGUUUUGGAGCCACAGAGCAGGGCAAUGACCACAGCAAGAGCAGCUGAGGGCUGGCCUGGCAAGAGAACAGGACAGCGUUCCUGAUUUUCUCUCCACCCUGGUGAGCUUGACUGGGGCAUGGACUGGGGCACGGAUGGUGAAUGAGCUCUUAGAUUCUUUGACCCAUUACGGAAAGGCGGUGGGAUCCUUGGAAAAGGAAAAUAAAUGUUCUUAUAGAAUAAGAAGGCUUGAGCCGUUUGACUUUAAGGAUAGAAGAGAUUUGACCUACUGUUUAAGCCAGGCUGAGUGAAUGAGUCAAGCCGGCUACAGAGACCAUAUCAUAAUGAAGUGCAGCGAAGUCUCUCAACUCCUCAUACUUUGCUAAUGCUGAGAAGUUCUGGAAAUGUCCAUCUGGAAGAACAUAUUCUCAGGAGUCACUGGAGUUAAAGACUGCAGUAGUUAGCUAUUGCUGCAUAACAAAUUACCACGAACGUAGCAGCUUCAAAUCUAUAGUCUACCCUCAUUCUUUGCAGAUUCUGCACCUGCUAAUAUCUUGAGAUAGAGCAAAUAAAAUUUAUUGAGAAUCCUCAAAAACUCAA